rnacentral:rRNA from 1 species
UACCUACGGGAGGCAGCAGUAGGGAAUCUUCCACAAUGGACGAAAGUCUGAUGGAGCAACGCCGCGUGAGCGAAGAAGGGUUUCGGCUCGUAAAGCUCUGUUGGUAGUGAAGAAAGAUAGAGGUAGUAACUGGCCUUUAUUUGACGGUAAUUACUUAGAAAGUCACGGCUAACUACGUGCCAGCAGCCGCGGUAAUACGUAGGUGGCAAGUGGUGUCCGGAUUUAUUGGGCGUAAAGCGAGUGCAGGCGGAU